GCCCAGAUAGCUCAGUUGGUAGAGCAGAGGACUGAAAAUCCUCGUGUC
rnacentral:tRNA from 1 species